rnacentral:rRNA from 1 species
GGGCGCGGGAAUUCGAUUCAGGCCUAACACAUGCAAGUCGAGCGGGGUUUUCGGACCUAACGGCGGACGGGUGAGUAAUGCGUAGGAAGCUACCCGAUAGAGGGGGAUACCAGUUGGAAACGACUGUUAAUACCGCAUAUUGUCUACGGACCAAAGUGUGGGACCUUCGGGCCACAUGCUAUCGGAUGUGCCUACGUGGGAUUAGCUAGUUGGUGAGGUAAUGGCUCACCAAGGCGACGAUCCCUAGCUGGUUUGAGAGGAUGAUCAGCCACACUGGAACUGAGACACGGUCCAGACUCCUACGGGAGGCAGCAGUGGGGAAUAUUGGACAAUGGGCGCAAGCCUGAUCCAUAAAGGCCGCGUGUGUGAAGAAGGCCUUCGGG